UCCCUGGUGGUCCAGUGACUGAGACUCCGCAUUCCCAAUGCUGGGGACCUAGGUUCAAUCCCUGGUCAGGGAA
rnacentral:tRNA from 1 species